rnacentral:rRNA from 1 species
GUGCCAGCCGCUGCGGUAAUACGGAGGGUGCAAGCGUUAAUCGGAAUUACUGGGCGUAAAGCGCACGCAGGCGGUCUGUCAAGUCGGAUGUGAAAUCCCCGGGCUCAACCCGGGAACUGCAUUCGAAACUGUCAGGCUGGAGUCUUGUAGAGGGGGUAGAAUUCCAGGGUGUAGCGGUGAAAUGCGUAGAGAUCUGGAGGAAUACCGGUGGCGAAGGCGGCCCCCUGGACAAAGACUGACGCUCAGGUGCGAAAGCGUGGGGAGCAAACAGGAUUAGAUACCCUGGUAGUCCACGCCGUAAACGAUGUCUAUUUGGAGGUUGUGCCCUUGAGGCGUGCUUCCGGAGCUAACGCGUUAAAUAGACCGCCUGGGGGAGUACGGCCGCAAGGUUAAAACUCAAAUGAAAUUGAC